ensembl:snoRNA LOC120097260 small nucleolar RNA SNORA17
CCUGCUGAUAUGGAAGCAUUGCAAGUGUGGCUGCUCUGUCACAUGUGCUUCAAGUAGACAUGUGCUAUGUCUACUCUCAGUGUUCUGACCUACAAACAUCUGAAUGAUUAGCACCCUAACAGU